rnacentral:sRNA from 1 species
GAAAUCGAGAAAUCGGGAAAUAGGGAAAUCGAGAAAGCAAAAACGAGAUAUAAAAAAAAGUCAUUUUGCGUUUAUGCUUUCUCGAUUUCUCCAUUUCUCGAUUUCUCGAUUUC